CCCUAACCAAAAACCUUAACUCCAUUUCUACUACGUUCAGCUUCUCUCUCGCUUAGACACUUCAGUCUUCACUGGGAAAAUGGCUUGGCGCAGUGCUGGAUCCUUCUCUCGCUCUGUCAUCUCCGCCUCCAGGGCUCCUUCGCUCCGCUCCCCUCCACCGGUUCCCCGUCUCCGUCCCCCAACAUCCUCCGCUCCUCGUCUCCAGUCCCGCCGCAUCUCUUAUGCUCCUUCCAGAAAUUUGGGAGAAUUGGGAUGCUUCCAAUCAUUCUUGCCUCUGAAUAGCAUGGUUCCCACAGCUCGUCUUACGUCACACUUGACUGUUAACGUGCGGGCUUGUUGUGAGCUGUCCCAUGGUACCUUCUGUCGAACUUGUCAGGAUCGCUAGUAGUCUCUUUGGAGGAAUGGAAAAGAUGGGUGACGCACGUCGACUUUCAAUCAGCUAAAGGAGAGAGAAUUAUACCAAAUUGUACUUGAAAGCCCAACAGCAGAGUGCAAUUGGAUGAGUGUGCAAGAGAUUAGUUUGUUGCUUUUGGGAGUCGGAAGCCAAGUCCUCUGAGUAAAAAAGUCUUUAAAAAACAUGUUAUUUAGUGUCUUCAUGUGAUGCCUGCUGCAUGGUAUUUGACACCUUUAGCAUAUAAGUUCUGUUUUAUAAUAUUUCGUUAUGACUUUACAUUUCACAAAAAUAUCAAAUUAUGCUUUUUCA